UUGCUAGGCGACGGGUGUCGGGAAAGCUAAAUUGAGUAGUCAGGAUUAGGGAAUCUACUCCAGUCAUCUUUCUAGUUCACAUGACAGAGAGAGGUCAAAACACCAACGAGGACCCCCGGGACUGGCAGGAAGAACGGAUGACGCUGGUGAGCACCGUGUGAAACUGAGGCUCUGCGGCAGCGAGCAUCCAGAUGACAAGGACUUACACGUCUUUGUGUCAUGCUAGCCUCCAGGAGGGCCCCAGACUGGCGACAGCAAAACAGGCCAUACAAACUAGUUCCACACGGCUGCCAAGGGGAAAACUAAUCGUUCUUCAAGCAUUUGGGGAAGGGCCAUGAUUCCUGAGGAAGAAGGGAGAAGAGAAUGGUCUAAGAUGGAACCAGGUGUGCCAGAAAAGACUUGAAGACACCUCUGGAGACAUCUGGGAGAAUGCAUGGUAAAACGGCAGUGUUAGCAAACAGUAGCUAUCACUACUACUGUGGAAUGAAAGUGACGAGAAACCAUUAAAACCCUCAUUUAAUCCACCGAG